UGUACACUUAAACUACACAAGGCCUACAUUGACUAGUGUUUGCAUGUAGGCAAAACAUGAUGUAAACUACAUGUAAACAUUGAGAUGGGAAUGUAAUUUUGUUUAGUUAAUUACAUGUGAGACACUAACACCACACCGAGUGGUAAAUUUGAAAUUGAAACUUCAAAAUGUUAACAGACGCCAGCAUGAAUCCGUUGGCUGUUUUUGUUUUGUUUCAGACAGGGCGAUGGAUUUGUUCCAAUUGAUGAAAACACAAUCCUAUCGUCAUUUCUUGGAUAAUGAUUUACUGAAAAAGAAUGAUCCCCCGGUUUGUACUUACAUGCAUGACAAAACAGAUAUAACACCCGGGUGUCGCAUAUGCAUCAGGAUUAUCUCAUCCUAAUGGAGCACAUGAAAGCUGUCCGUUUCAUGACGGGAUAAUUGUUUUUCUCUUUACGUGUUCUAUAUCAUGUAUAUUAUUUGUUGUGUACUGUUUAAUGUCUUGCUAUCAUGUUUUUUCUACGACGGCAUUGUCAUGAUUUCAAAUUAUUUGAAGUUUCUUUUACUGUGCUGUUUGGGUGUUGCCCUUUGUUCAUGGUUUGACAAGAACCCAUAGUUGCUUGCUUCCACUUCGUUCUGACUAUUGUAGAUAGUGUUUCUCAUUGACAAUUAUUCCAUAUCACAUACUAAAAUAUUGCUUACUGUUUCUUAUGAUUAUUUAAAGAUUCUUUGGUGUAUACAGCAUGUACAUUAUCUGAGCCUAAUGAUGACGUGAUUUGGAAAUUGAAUGAAAAAACGCAAUUUUUCAAGACCAUGAACAACAAAAAGAAACAAAAAAUACAUUAUCAGGUAAAACAUCAUUUAAUCCAUUAAUUACCUAACCCAGUCUCUGAUCGGGAUUAUAUAACAUCCUAUGUCUUAGAUUUGCUUAUAUUACAAUGAUCUGACAAGAUAUCGUUGUAUUUCUCUUUUGGUACUUAACAUAUCCGCCAAAAAGUCAGUAAAAUGUAGAAUAUAAAAAAAUACCGAAGUCGAAGGAAAAUUCAAAACGAAAAAGUCCUUCAUCAAAUGGCA
rnacentral:lncRNA from 1 species